rnacentral:lncRNA from 1 species
GAAACAGAUAGCACCGGAGGGAAGCCCUGUGGUGUUUGGAGUCUUAAGGAGUGUGCGGGGCCCACUGAGACGGGAUGGGGGGAGGGGUGUGUACAGUAUCCCUGUGGCUGAUAACAGUAUGAAUGGGGGGUCAGCGUGUAUUGGAGUGGCUUCGAGAAUGAUGGGAGCGCGUGUGGCGGAGCACAGGGGAGACAUAAGGCAUGCAAGGCUUAGUACAUCUUUGGCCGGAGAAGCUUAUAAUAAGAAUGUUGAUGUGGAUUGGAGGGAGGUUGGGUGGAUUGGGCCCAUACCGAAUUGUACGCGGCCAGUUGUGGCUGAGUCUGUGGAAAUAUUGAAGAGGUUGGGGGGGGAAAGCCUGGUAAAUGAUGGGUUGCCAGGGAGCCU